ACUGUAUACUGUUAGAGCUUGGAGUUGAGAAUAAUGAACUCACAAGUGUAUGUGAGGGGCAAGUUUUUCACUUACACCACAAGGGUCUCUAGCCCAAUGAAUGGAAUUUGAUAGCAAUCCUUGCUACAAGU
ensembl:snoRNA SNORA62 Small nucleolar RNA SNORA62/SNORA6 family